GAACAACAGUGCACUCGCUUCAACUGAAAGGUGUUCUGCUGUUGUCCUCCAGGCUGCAAAGUCUGGUACCAGCAUGAGAUGUUUUGUCUUUCUUCUAGCUCUACCAAGUGACUUGGUCUUUGGCUCCAGCGUAGGAUCAUGGUGUACGGUUGGAAUCAAUCAUCCUGCUCUGAUUCGAAUGACCAUUUUACCCCUCUGAAGGUUCACAUUAACAAGCAUUCCUGGGAUGUUUUCUUGAUUGGGUUCAAGAUGGUGCUGACGGGGUCAGGCAGAAGUGAAGAACGGCAGCAGUGGCAAAUGCAAA
ensembl:lncRNA